CAGGAUGAACGCUAGCGACAGGCCUAACACAUGCAAGUCGAGGGGCAGCACAAGGAGCAAUCUGAGGUGGCGACCGGCGCACGGGUGAGUAACACGUAUGCAACCUGCCUGUAAGCGGGGAAUAACCCGUUGAAAGACGGACUAAUACCGCAUAAUACUAAAUUACUGCAUGGUAAUUUAUUUAAACAUUUAUGGCUUACAGAUGGGCAUGCGCAUGAUUAGCUAGUUGGAGAGGUAACGGCUCCCCAAGGCAACGAUCAUUAGGGGUUCUGAGAGGAAGGUCCCCCCACACUGGUACUGAGACACGGACCAGACUCCUACGGGAGGCAGCAGUGAGGAAUAUUGGUCAAUGGACGAGAGUCUGAACCAGCCAAGUCGCGUGCAGGAAGAAUUGUCCUAUGGAUUGUAAACUGCUUUUGCAGGGGAAUAAAGUGCAUCACGUGUGAUGUUUUGUAUGUACUCUGCGAAUAAGGAUCGGCUAACUCCGUGCCAGCCGCCGC
rnacentral:rRNA from 1 species